UACGAAGGGGGCUAGCGUUGCUCGGAAUGACUGGGCGUAAAGGGCGCGUAGGCGGCUCAUACAGUCAGGCGUGAAAUUCCUGGGCUCAACCUGGGGACUGCGCUUGAGACGUGUGGGCUUGAGUGGGGAAGAGGGUCGUGGAAUUCCCAGUGUAGAGGUGAAAUUCGUAGAUAUUGGGAAGAACACCGGUGGCGAAGGCGGCUUCCUGGACACUUACUGACGCUGAGACGCGAAAGCGUGGGGAGCAAACAGG
rnacentral:rRNA from 1 species